rnacentral:rRNA from 1 species
UACGAAGGGACCCUAGCGUAGUUCGGAAAUUACUGGGCUUAAAGAGUUCGUAGGUGGUUGAAAAAGUUGGUGGUGAAAUCCCAGAGCUUAACUCUGGAACUGCCAUCAAAACUUUUCAGCUAGAGUAUGAUAGAGGAAAGCAGAAUUUCUAGUGUAGAGGUGAAAUUCGUAGAUAUUAGAAAGAAUACCAAUUGCGAAGGCAGCUUUCUGGAUCAUUACUGACACUGAGGAACGAAAGCAUGGGUAGCGAAGAGGAUUAGAUACCCUCGUAGUCCAUGCCGUAAACGAUGUGUGUUAGACGUUGGAAAUUUAUUUUCAGUGUCGCAGCGAAAGCGAUAAACACACCGCCUGGGGAGUACGACCGCAAGGUUAAAACUCAAAUGAAUUGACGGGGACCCGCACAAGUAGUGGAGCAUGUGGUUUAAUUCGAAGAUACGCGCAGAACCUUACCAACACUUGACAUGUUCGUCGCGGCUCUAAGAGAUUAGAGCUUUCGGUUCGGCCGGACGAAACACAGGUGCUGCAUGGCUGUCGUCAGCUCGUGUCGUGAGAUGUUGGGUUAAGUCCCGCAACGAGCGCAACCCUCACUUUUAGUUGCCAUCAUUAAGUUGGGCACUCUGAAAGAACUGCCAGUGAUAAGCUGGAGGAAGGUGGGGAUGACGUCAAGUCCUCAUGGCCCUUACGUGUUGGGCUACACACGUGCUGCAAUGGUAUCUACAACAGGAAGCAAGACUGCGAAGUUUAGCAAAUCCCUAAAAGAUACCUCAGUUCGGAUUGCACUCUGCAACUCGAGUGCAUGAAGCUGGAAUUACUAGUAAUCGUGGAUCAGCGUGCCACGGUGAAUGCGUUCCCGGGUCUUGUACACACCGCCCGUCACACCAUGGGAGUUGGUUCUACCUUAAGGCAAGGUUUUAAACCCUUGACCACGGUAUAGUCAGCGACUGGGGUGAAGUCGUAACAAGGUAGCCGUAAA